GGCAGCAUGGUAUAGUGGUUUGAGGAUUGGACUAUGACUCUGGAGAUCAGGGUUCAAUUCCCUGCUUAGCUA